rnacentral:rRNA from 1 species
UAAUCGCAGAUCAGAAUGCUGCGGUGAAUGCGUUCCCGGGUCUUGUACACACCGCCCGUCACACCACGGGAGUUGGAGACGCCCGAAGCCGAUUAUCUAACCUUUUGGAAGAAGUCGUCGAAGGUGGAAUCAAUAACUGGGGUGAAGUCGUAACAAGGUAGCCGUAUCGGAAGGUGCGGCUGGAUCACCUCCUUUCUAAGGAGA